AAAUUGAAGAGUUUGAUCAUGGCUCAGAUUGAACGCUGGCGGCAGGCCUAACACAUGCAAGUCGAACGGUAACAGGAAAGCAGCUUGCUGCUUUCGCUGACGAGUGGCGGACGGGUGAGUAAUGUCUGGGAAACUGCCUGAUGGAGGGGGAUAACUACUGGAAACGGUAGCUAAUACCGCAUAACGUCGCAAGACCAAAGAGGGGGACCUUCGGGCCUCUUGCCAUCGGAUGUGCCCAGAUGGGAUUAGCUUGUUGGUGGGGUAACGGCUCACCA
rnacentral:rRNA from 1 species